rfam:Ancylostoma ceylanicum strain HY135 Acey_s0085_scaf, whole genome shotgun sequence.
GGCGAGAUGGCCGAGUGGUCUAAGGCGCAGUCCUUGGAACACCAAGAUUCACCGGGGUCCCGGGUUCGAAUCCCGCCAUCGCCU